GUUAUUUCCUAUAAUCUUAACAUUUGACCGUCUAAUUAACAAUUAAGUUGAUUAUAGAAUUUUAAAUAACAUGACUUAGGGUAAUAACAUGAUAUGGAACAUACAUCUAACUUUUUUAUUUUUUAUAAUGUUGAUAAUAAUGUUUAGGUUAAUAUUUUGAAUGGUCUUGAAGCAUUGGAUCGGUAGCUAAUUGCAAGAGGGAUGAUUUUAGAAAGAAAUUCAUGGCAGCCAAUCCUUACUUUGGAAAGGCAGUGACGAGGGUGAGUACAAGGACAAGAAGAAGAAAUAUAUGUUGUUUGACAAUGAAUUUAGUGUUUUAUUAUAUUUGUAAUUUUUAUUAGAGUAAAUGAUUCUUGUUUGAAUGGUUAAUUAUUUACUUUGUAAAUCUAGUUAUAUAUUUUUUAAGGUCAAGACGAUUAUAAUUUUAAUAA